UCUCCUAUAGUCAGCAUGAUCCCCCCCACCCCCGGCCCCCACCCUGGGAGCCCAAAGAACUUGUUAAUUCUCUGGUUUCCCCAUUAAAACUGAGUUACCUUCUCCCUGGAAGCCUUUAUGAGGCAAGAUACAGAAGGUUUUAGUGUAUGAUUCCUGGGGACAGAAUUCUGGACCUCAGAGUUUUGAUAUUUCUUUGGGAUUUUUUUUUCAAAUGAGACAAUACAACCUUUUUAAAAGCACAGAAAUUCCCAGGCCUCCCUGGUUGGUCCUAAAGCCAGGGGAGUUGUUAGGGACUUGCUUCUUUUUUAUGAUGUCACCCUUUGCUCUUUAAUUUUCCUGGACUCCAGAGCCAUCAGGAGCUGGGGAUACAGGAGAUGGAGCAGUGUCUGGUAAUGAGCACUGCUGGUCUGACACUCAUUUCAUUCCAACCACAGAAAAUAGCCCAUCCCUUGAGAACAACAUUUUCUGGGAAGAAUCAAGUGCUAUGUAGUCCAGGCCUUUGCUCUGGCUUUUCUACAGCCCAGCAUUAUUCAUAAUAAUAUCACUGAAUCAGGAACCCAGCAGGGUUACUGGGACAGGGCACAUGAGAGUGAGCCAAUAACAAUGUGAGUCCUUGAAAUCACAGCAGGGAAGGCAUCUUGGUUGUGCAUGAGGAAAACAUAACAGUCCCUCCAUAGCCAUAGGAAAAUUCACCCAAGGCAUUUUCCUUCCUUCAGGAGAAAAUUCAGGAUGAACUGAAGAUUUUGAGGGAAGAGAGAAAAAGGCUUGAAGCCCUGAGAGUGAGUGAGAGUCAGAAACAGCAGGAAUAUCAGGGUUUGAGCCCUCAGAGCUGCCAAAAGCCCCUUCCUAAGGUGAACUAAGUGCACAGAAACCAGGCAGGAUGCAACCAGUGUGCAACCAGAGAGGUCUAGGAGCAGACAUGCUGGAACACCCCAGCAUCUUUUCAAGACCAUGGGAGCUUCAGGAGACUAACUCUUCCCACGCAAAGACAAAGGCUGGGAGCCAGAAGGUUGCAUCUAUAUCUCAGGAACUGCACCAGUUCAUCAAGGAACAGGAGCAACUCCUGCUGGCCCAACUGGCAGAGUUGGAGCAGGACAUUGAGAAGAGUCAGGAGGAAACUGUCACCAGCCUCUCGGAGCAGAUCUCCUGUCUGGACAGCCUGAUCAUGGAGAUGGAGAGCAAGUGCCAGCAGCCACCGUAUGAUCUUCUGGAGGUGAGGCACAUUAAAACCCUUCCUACCCCUGCACAGGAAAGGGGGAAAGUGUGAACAUUGGAUCUUGGGGAGA